GAUCCUGGCUCAGGAUGAACGCUAGCUACAGGCUUAACACAUGCAAGUCGAGGGGCAGCAUGAAAGGAACUUCGGUUCUUUUGAUGGCGACCGGCGCACGGGUGCGUAACGCGUAUCGAACCUGCCGUCAUACUCGGGGAUAGCCUUGCGAAAGUAAGAUUAAUACCCGGCGGUCUCGGAUGGCCGCGAUGACUAUCCGAGUGAAGAUUUAUCGGUAUGAGAUGGCGAUGCGUCCCA
rnacentral:rRNA from 1 species